rnacentral:rRNA from 1 species
CGGACGGGUGAGUAACGCGUGGGUAACCUGCCUCAUACAGGGGAAUAACAGUUAGAAAUGACUGCUAAUACCGCAUAAGACCACGGAGCCGCAUGGCUCAGUGGGAAAAACUCCGGUGGUAUGAGAUGGACCCGCGUCUGAUUAGGUAGUUGGUGAGGUAACGGCCCACCAAGCCGACGAUCAGUAGCCGACCUGAGAGGGUGACCGGCCACAUUGGGACUGAGACACGGCCCAG